rnacentral:rRNA from 1 species
GGGUAUAGGUUUUCGGACCUAGAGACCGGCGCACGGGUGCGUAACGCGUAUGCAAUCUACCUUUUACAGAGGGAUAGCCCAGAGAAAUUUGGAUUAAUACCUCAUAGUAUUAUUGAAUGGCAUCAUUUAAUAAUUAAAGUCACAACGGUAAAAGAUGAGCAUGCGUCCCAUUAGCUAGUUGGUAAGGUAACGGCUUACCAAGGCAACGAUGGGUAGGGGUCCUGAGAGGGAGAUCCCCCACACUGGUACUGAGACACGGACCAGACUCCUACGGGAGGCAGCAGUGAGGAAUAUUGGUCAAUGGGCGCAAGCCUGAACCAGCCAUGCCGCGUGCAGGAUGAAGCAUCUAUGGUGUGUAAACUGCUUUUGUACGAGAAGAAACACUCCUACGUGUAGGAGCUUGACGGUAUCGUAAGAAUAAGGACCGGCUAACUCCGUGCCAGCAGCCGCGGUAAUACGGAGGGUCCAAGCGUUAUCCGGAAUCAUUGGGUUUAAAGGGUCCGUAGGCGGUUUUGUAAGUCAGUGGUGAAAGCCCAUCGCUCAACGGUGGAACGGCCAUUGAUACUGCAAGACUUGAAUUAUUAGGAAGUAACUAGAAUAUGUAGUGUAGCGGUGAAAUGCUUAGAUAUUACAUGGAAUACCAAUUGCGAAGGCAGGUUACUACUAAUAUAUUGACGCUGAUGGACGAAAGCGUGGGGAGCGAACAGGAUUAGAUACCCUGGUAGUCCACGCCGUAAACGAUGGAUACUAGCUGUUCGGAGCAAUCUGAGUGGCUAAGCGAAAGUGAUAAGUAUCCCACCUGGGGAGUACGUUCG